CGGUGGAGCAUGUGGUUUAAUUCGAUGAUACGCGAGGAACCUUACCUGGGCUCAAAUGUAUGUUGACGUAUUCUGAAAGGGAUACUUCUUCGGACAAUAUACAAGGUGCUGCAUGGUUGUCGUCAGCUCGUGCCGUGAGGUGUCGGGUUAAGUCCCAUAACGAGCGCAACCCUACCUUUAGUUGCCAUCAGGUUAAGCUGGGGACUCUAAAGGAACUGCCUACGCAAGUAGUGAGGAAGGCGGGGAUGACGUCAAAUCAGCACGGCCCUUACGUCCAGGGCUACACACGUGCUACAAUGGCCGAUACAGAGGGCAGCUACCUGGUGACAGGAUGCAAAUCUCCAAAGUCGGUCUCAGUUCGGAUCGGAGUCUGCAACCCGACUCCGUGAAGUUGGAUUCGCUAGUAAUCGCGCAUCAGCCAUGGCGCGGUGAAUACGUUCCCGGGCCUU
rnacentral:rRNA from 1 species